GAUGAACGCUGGCGGCGUGCCUAAUACAUGCAAGUCGAGCGAACAGACGAGGAGCUUGCUCCUCUGACGUUAGCGGCGGACGGGUGAGUAACACGUGGAUAACCUACCUAUAAGACUGGGAUAACUUCGGGAAACCGGAGCUAAUACCGGAUAAUAUAUUGAACCGCAUGGUUCAAUAGUGAAAGACGGUUUUGCUGUCACGUAUAGAUGGAUCCGCGCCGCAUUAGCUAGUUGGUAAGGUAACGGCUUACCAAGGCAACGAUGCGUAGCCGACGUGAGAGGGGGAUCGGCCACACGGGAACUGAGCCACGGUCCAGACUCCUACGGGAGGCAGCAGUAGGGAAUCUUCCGCAAUGGGCGAAAGCCUGACGGAGCAACGCCGCGUGAGUGAUGAAGGUCUUCGGAUCGUAAAACUCUGUUAUUAGGGAAGAACAAAUGUGUAAGUAACUAUGCACGUCUUGACGGUACCUAAUCAGAAAGCCACGGCUAACUACGUG
rnacentral:rRNA from 1 species